GCUCGUGGAUCGAUGAAGACCGCAGUUAAAUGCGCGUCAGAAUGUGAACUGCAGGACACAUGAACACCGACAUGUUGAACGCAUAUUGCACACCGUACAACAUUACGAUGUACACAUUUUUGAGUGCCUAUAUUUGUCCAUUCCACCACGUACGCGCAGUGACGUUUUCUUGGCCCUCAGUAAAACGUUGAAGAUAAUCAUGCGCACUCCACCCAGGUGCGGUUGAUGAAUACAUCCCUUAGACCAACGCGCUUGGUUAUGUUGUUUUCAUCGGCAGGCCAGCCGGCCACCGCCACCCAGUAGGCCUCAAAUAAUGUGUGACUACCCCCUAAAUUUAAGCA
rnacentral:rRNA from 1 species